rnacentral:lncRNA from 1 species
AGUGCCCCUGCACGCCUGGACAAGGCGGGUGGGGUCCACACCGCCCAGCCAUCACCACACACCCCACCUGCCACACCCAUCCUUGUGCACUGUUGUUUCACAUUUUCAUAUGUGCAUGUUGCCUGACCUAUUUGCAAUGCAGACACGAGCAGGGAGCCAUGUUGCCAGCCCUCACAGUGCCUUCAGUGCCCCUGCACGCCUGGACAAGGUGGGUGGGGUCCACACAGCCCAGCCAUCACCAGACACCCCACCUGCCACACCCACCCUUGUGCACUGUUGUUUCACAUUUUCAUAUGUGCAUGCUGCCUGACCUAUUUGCAAUGCAGACACGAGCAGGGAGCCAUGUUGCCAGCCCUCACAGUGCCUUCAGUGCCCCUGCACGCCUGGACAAGGCGGGUGGGGUGCCACACAUGAUUCCGUAGCGUAACUCGCAUGCCCUCGCAUGCGCCAUUGCACCCUUCCCUUGCAUGCUCCUCUCCCUUUCCUCCUCCCCUCGUCGUCUUCCACCAUGCAUGCACACUCUGUACAUACACGCUCGCGCGUGCGCCCCCAGGCCAAGGGCAAGUACGGCGCAGUGGAGGACAAGGGCAUCUACCCCGAGGUGCGCUCGCCGGCCCGCUUACUUCAUGCAACCUGCAGCCCCGCACUUGCCCACCUCAAGCCUGGGGUCCGUGGUCCGUGGUUGUGCAGGUUGUGCCUGGGGUCCGUGGUCCCUUCCUAGCCCCCUGCAUGCUAGAUUGCAUUGUCGGCCUAUGGGGACAUUGCACCCUCUCCAUGCGGGUCCCACUCCAGGACAAAUCGUGUCCCCAGGGAGGCGCCCACCUGAUGGCACCCCAAACCCCCUGAUAGAUAGUUCUUUAAGGAUGCCACCACGCCGUCCCUAACUGAAGGACAAUAUAUCAGGGGGUUUUCAAGCCAAACCCGCCAGUUGAGGAGGCCAGGAGACGGCGCCCCAAACAAAACGCAGAGCGGGAUACAGACUCCGCCACUCAAUGUAUAUGUUACAUGCAAUCUAUUGGAGCAAUAGCGCUUGACGGCAGGCUAAAACGUGCUCGCCGACGCUCAAGUCACGACAUUGACCGACCAACAUCCUGCAUAGUUGUUUUGGGGCGUUGUCGAUUCACUCUGGGAACCUAGCUGCUUCAGGCUUGCUUCAGGCUAGCUUCAGGAAAAUGACCCUAGUCAAGGCUUCAGGAUGCUUGCUUCAGGGAAGAGACCAUAUCAGGAAAACGUUGAAGCACUUCAGGAAAGGGCCUGAAGCACCGACACCCUGAAGCCCUCUGUCACCCGCCCCGCAACCGGUGUUCAUCAGAGGUGUCUACAGACACCGAACUGUUAUCCCCAUUGUCAUGUCGAUCAAGCACUCUCACCUCCACUGCACCGAGCACCACAUGCCCAUGUCCUCGUCAUAACCUGAAUACCUGCAAGCCUGCCGUGUCAGCAGCUGUGUGAGCAGUGAGCAGUGCGCAAGCGAUGUUAGAGCAUCUUGACUGUGGACUGCAAGCCAGGCAAAAACACCCCCGAGCAAGUAGGCCUCAAGUCCUUGCGAAGAAUUCCAUCCAACAAAUGAUUCAGACGCACUAAGGGACAUGGGCAUAUACUUAGCUUGCAAGAGGCUUGAGGUCAGCGACGAAGACGACCGCUUUGACCGAGUUGUAGCCAGCUCCACAGGUCGUUCACAAGCACGGAGCAUAUCUACAUUUGGUUAUCACAACUUCCUUCAUAGCUUUGAUUAUUAAAGAACCAUCCAGAUCAAGACAGCGUCGGGGGUAAUGAUAAAGGCUCGCCCAAUUAUUGCUUGACUGCAUGUAUGUGUUUACAGGGACAUAUUGAAGUAAAUAUGUUGAAGAAUACAGUAGUGUGCAGCAAGUGGACUCCGUCUGGGACUUCAGUAGCUCGGUGCUGCUGAGUCCCAUGCAGCACGCCGAUGCGGAAGGGCAACACCCAUGCAGCCUACUUCAUUUCCCGCGCAUGGCCUGCAUGCCAUCCUUGCCCGAGUGUCUGGUGCCUUCCCAUGACGCCGGUGCUGCGUUUAGGAUGGAGCAGCCUCGCACCGGUGGUGUAGGGGGGCAUGUGUGUGCUGUGUGUGGUGGUCAUCAGUAGUGGCGGGUUUUACGGUCUGUGCGUAUGCAGGGGAGGCAAGCCAUCACCCUCCAGCGUGCAUAGAUAGCUGGUUAUAGCCUAUAUCCCACAAUGCACGAGUUGGGGGGCGGGCAGGCCCAAGCUGGUGGUGGCAAUGCCUGGUGUGGGUGCCGUCACCCUUUUUGGCAUGCCCCAUGCCAAAAAGGGUGACGCCCAGACGUGGGGCCACUGGUGUUGUGUCAGGCCGCCUGCACCCCCUAAUUCUCACGCAUGACAUGCAUGCCAUCCUUGCCCGAGUGUCUGGUGCCUUCCCAUGUCGCCGGUGCUGCGUUAAGGAUGCAGCAGCCUCGCGCCGGUGGCGGGGGGGUGCACCGUUAGUGCACACCGUCAGCCCUUGAUCAAUCGAUGUAUCAUUUUCCCACGUUGGCACCAGACAAAGCAUAAGCAUGUCAUUGUGCAUAGAAUGUAGCAAUAUUGAUGUUGGUUUGAUUGCAAACAGACCCCUGACCUGAAGCAAUGUUCCUGAAGCGCGGCAUCUUGUGCGAGGCUGGGCCCGACAGCAAGAAACGUGCCCGAGAGUCGCAUUCAUGCACUCAUUUGUUACAAAGCUUCAUCACAAAGAACAUAGUGGGACUAGCGGUUGAUGUACGGUGAAUGUCGCGCACAUUCUCUUGUUUCUUGCCAACACCUGUGACAGCACAAAAUGCAAAGACACAAUGCAACAGGCAGCUGCAGUAGGCUGUGCAAAUGUCAUGCUUCCGGCCUGUUGCCAGUGCCAAACCUGAAGCCUGAAGGUGACGGUUCACUACACCUGAAGCAGCCCUGAAGCAGCCCUGAAGCGAAAGUCGGGUUCCUGAAGCCCCGGCCAUUCCCCGAGUGAUUGCCGUCAACACAGAUAUCUGCAUAGAUGUAAUCAGGCUACUAUCUGGCCUGAUAUGGCGUGUCCUGGCGAACGCGACUGUCACAUGUAGAUGUUUGAGGUCGGCCCCGGCUCAAUUAAGUGCCCCGGAGUUACUCUAAUGCGGUAGUAGAUGUUAUACAAAUGGUACUUGGCUGGGGACACGACCGGCCCGUAGGGCCGUGCGCGAGUUAGACGUUGCCGACCGACCUCGCAGCGCCACCUUGCCGGUUCCUGAGGCGCCUAGUAAUUGCUAUAUAUAAAUAUGGGUCCCUUUUAUGGGGACACGCGGCCACACACCGGUGCUCGCGCAGACCCGGACCUCAACUUGGCGACGCAGCGUUCUUAAGUGGGGGGGCCAAAUUCUGUGCGCUGUAUUUACAAAACUGGGUCCCUCACGGCUGCCCGGACAGCAAAUGGCCGCGGUUCCGACACAAACGCCGCGGAGCGCACUCCCGUAUGUGGCCCCAGCUAUGUCGCGAGCACGCGCAAUGCUCCUCGCAACACAGCUGGGUCACGCCCGGCGCCCCGGCCCCGCCCCCCCCCGGAGCAUCGCCCGCGCGGCUAAGUCCGGUUUCUAUUAUUAUUCUUCUUAUGAUAUAGGAAUAAUAAUAAUAAUAAUAAUUCAAACGCCGGCCCAUGGGGCCUGGCGUGGAUUAUCGGGGUAAGGUGGCUAGGGCGAGGAGGCCCAUCCCCCUCGCGCUGCCACCUCACCACGCACUCCGAGGAGGUGUGGGGGAGCCGUGGCUCACCCGCCUCUCGGUUUGAGUUCCUGCUCGGUUACUCAGCGCAUUUUGAUAAUGCCGCCCGCACUGUUCACAGCGUGUGUGUGGAGCCUCUCUCCGCAUACUCGUGCGGCUGUGUGGGUCACCCCAAGUUGAGAGGUGAGCAGCUUAGUGAGGUUGCAAGGGAUGGCCCCAGUCACUCCGAGCGCAAGGCAUUCAUUGGUGGAGUAGUGGACCGUCCAUCCGGCCGCUUCCAGCAGUCGCUUGAGUUCUUGGUGUUGUUGGGAUUUUUCUUCCCGCUUGUCCAAAUGGCAGACGUCAGAGCUGUAACCGAUUUCAAGGAUAUAGAUGGGCAGCCGUGCUUUGUUCAGGGGCGGGCGGUACCCUUCUCUAUGUGUUUCAUGGGCGGGCAGGUUUGGGAUGAACAGAAUGUCAGGUCUGAGCCUUGUAAUAAGGGGUGAUGAUGUCCUCUCCGCAGCCAGCCAGGCGGGGGGGCGUUGUGCAGACGCAUAGUGUGGCAGGUCGGCUAGGGGGCCCGCAUCCAUGACCAUGAACCCGUUCCCGUAGGUCCCUUUGGAGAUGCAUUUGGCGAUACGCUGGACUGCCCAGUUGUGCCGAUUGAUGUACGCGCCUUUCAUUUUAGGGUGUGUGCAGCCUCCGAGGAUGUGCCCUCCGGAGUCAGGGGUGUGGCAGAGGGGGCAGUUGCCGUUCCCUCCCAGGCGGUAGCGCCGUUUAAGCUGUGCGUUGAAGAGGUAGCCGUAGCGGGCGUAGAGUAUUUGCUUGACCAGCCAGGGGUGCCUGGUGGAGCUGGCGAGGGUGCGGUUGCUGAGGGUGGGGCACAUGUUGGCAGAUGCUUCCGCCCAUUGCUCCAGCACUGGUGUAUUAUUGGUAAAGCCUUGUUGUGCUUCGGGGGGCAAUGAGUUCAGGACUCCACGGUUUAGGUCGCUUAGGUAGAAAUUGUCAGAGUUGCGUUUGGGCCACCAGAUGUUGGACCACGGUUCGUCUGGUGCUAAGCGUAUGGCCUGCCCCAUGGCCUCCAUGUCGUUGGCGGCGACUUUGGCUGCACCUUUGUCAGCUUCCUCGUUGCCGUGGAGCCCUGUGUGAGAGCGGACUUUCAGCAGCUGGACUGGGACCCCGGCGUCAGCAUACAUUUGUAGCUCGUGGAGAAUGUUUUCCAGCAGGUUUUUAGAAAUAGAAAUAGAAAUAGAGACACCCUGCCGUAGGCAAGUGGUGUGAAUUAAGGGAGUGGGGGGAGAUGAGGAGGUGGGCCAGGCCCGCCUCCUGUACGCCCCCACUACCGAGCAUGUGAAGGCGGGCGUGCAGGCCAGGCCUGCAUCCCGCCAGGAUGUUACGUCCCGCCCGGGUCGCCAGGUGGCAGUCCCCGUUCGAGACGCCGUCUGGUCAAGACAAUGUGGUUGAGGGUGGCGACUGCGUGGUCGUGUAGGGUGUCGCAGCACUGCCUGGCUUUGUGGGAAGUGACGCCCAGGGAGGUGAGGAGGGGAUGGAGGUCCUUGCGGAUUGUGCCUGCAAAUCCGAGGCUGAUUGCGCUCUGCGGGGUGUAUUGCACUUUCCAUCCCGCUUCCCGCAGGUCGGCUGCAAGUGCCUGGUGCUGUUGUGCUUUUUCGUGUUGCUUGGCGGCGUGGUUCGUGUCGGCGGUGUAUCCUGCUUCGAUGAUGUGGAUGGUGUCGCGUUCGCUGGGAAGCACGACAAAGUCUGGGUUUAGGGCUGCGGCGAGGGAGAUGGAAGGGAUUAGUAGGAUGUCGGGGCGGUAAUGUAGGUGGCGUCCUGCUGGUUUGCCCUCCUGGUCGGGGAGCAGCCACGGCGGCAGGCGGUUGUCAGCCGCGUAGUCUGGCAGAUCGGCUUUAGACGUGGCGUCCAUUACCAUGUAGCAGCCGCCGCAGUCACCACGGGAGAUGGCUCGUGCGAUGGUCUGGACUGCAAUGUUGUGUCGUUUUAUGUACAUUGCACGGAGUUGGGGGUUGUGGCAGCCUCCCAGUAUAUGGCCACCGGAGUCGGGUCCGCGACAGAGUGGGCAUGGGGCGGGGGUAUCGGGGCCAGCGCGGGGGGCUCGGCGGCCUGUGACUGUGCGGCCGAAACGGGCGGCGAGUUUAUUGUUCCACAGCUGCCCGUACAGAUAGUCCAUGCAGCGUUUGGCCUUGCGGUGCCGGCCUGAUUGCAGGUUCAUGGUUCGGGUGCUGGAUUUGAUAUCCAGGUCUGGGAUGGCGUUGGCAACGAAGCCAGUGUAGAGGGUUUCGCGGGUGUGGCCUUGGGCGAUGUGCGGGGCCGCGAGCAUGGCGAUGCCGCGGUUGAGGUCAUGCGCAUAGUGCCCUUCGUUCUUCUCUCGUGGCACCCCUUCCACAGUCGGUUUCAUAGUUUUACGUAUCCAGUAGUAUUUGCUACGCGGGUCGUUAUCGGAUUCCUCGACCAGCCACUCGGCCCCGGGCAUCUGUUCUCCCUUGGCGGUUUUCACCGCCGCCUGAUCUGCGAGUUCAUUGUGUGCAAUCCCUGAAUGUGCUUUGACCUUGAGGAGAUUAGUCCGGCGGCCGGCGUGGGAGCGGCGUUUCAGGAGCGCGAGGAUGUUAUCCAGCAGCGCUUUGUGUUUGCUGAAGGUGAGGAGUUGGGGCUGGUUGAUUGUUUUGCGGAUGAGGAACAGCGACGCAGCGGAGUCAGUGUAUACUGUGACUUCGGGGAGCGCUUGCACUUCGUCUAGCUUGAGCACUUGGUGUAUGGCCGAGAGCUCGCAGCGUGUGAUGGUGUUACAGCCGUGUUGCCCAGGGUUGACGUCGAUUUGAUAGCAGCGCAGCGUGCGGGCAUCAAUCGCUGCGGCCCCCCACGCGCUGGGCUGACCGAGGGCGUCCUUCUGCACUGAGCCAUCGGUGUAGAAGCCUUCAUAGGGAUUGAGGCGGAGGGGCUGGGUGGCCGCGAAGGGGGCCAGGGUGGCUGGCGUGGCCGGUACGGGAGGGGGUGUUACCCGGGGUGCCGCCGGACGGGUGCGGGUCAUCCGGCGAACUUGCUUGGUUACCCAUCGCGUGUGGGCCCACGUGAGUUGGGGCUGCGGGUCGACGGGCAUGCCCGAGAGGUAUAGGGAUGUGCCUAUCGACCACGGCAGAGGUUGCUUAGCGAUAAGUUGGUGUGUAACGUCGGUUCAGACCCGAGUUCGAUCCUCCCCAAAUUCGGUACAGGGGAAACCUCCGUGCGUAUUCAAAUCACGCACAGGCGCUCCGCAGGGACCGCACGGCUCUUCAGUCGUGUCCUUGUCAUCCGUGGCUAACGUCAGAUAAGAGAGCGGUCGUGAAGUGCCGGCAAAGGGGCCGGACUCUGGAGCGAUCCAGAGUUUCAGUUGAGAUGUUGCCCGACAGUCGGCAUUACCUGAUCCCCCGAUCUCAGGUACCGAAAGCCGUGAGGGUAGAUCAUCCGAGCUGAACAUGGAUAGGACACCAGGGGCUUAAUCCACCCCGCUCCCACCGGUGGGCAGGACCGGCAAAUGAUAAGGUGGUCGUGGUGACUUCCCGCCUUCUCUCGAACUGGGUUGAGAGAUGAUCAGCGAAGGCGUUGCCCCGUUAAUACAUGCUAGGCCCUAUGGGCCAGCGUUGGGAUUAUUAUUAUUAUUAUUAGGGAUGUGCCUAGGGCGUCGCGUAUGGGCUGGGCGAGUUGGGCUCCGGGUGUAUUGCUGACCAGCACUAGGUCGUGUUUUAGGGUGAUGCCUGUGUCGUUGUGGAUCUGGCCGAGAAGGGCGUGUGUUGUUGUGGCGGAGAUGCUGCCAAGGAGUGUAACUCUGGGGUGGGCGAGGUAUCGUGUGUAUGGCGCGUUGCGUUGGGUGGGGAGGAUGAGCAGCGUGGCAGUGGUUGGCGGGUUGCGGGUGUUUGUAAGGGUUUCGGUGUGUUCGGCCCAUGCUAGUGCCCAGCGGACUGCGUGAGCUCCGUCUUCGGUGUUGGGUUCGGGGCAGGCGACAGCAACUCCAUCCCAUGGCUGUGAGUACGCAUCAUAGUUGGCCCCAAAGAGCAUGUCUUCUUCGUACAGUGUGUAGUAGGUGGUGGCGGCGUCCGAUACGUUGAGGGGUGAUGCGAAGAGCUCCGUUGUGCUGCCUAUUGCUGUGUGCAGGGUUUGCGUCAGCCCUUCACACAGCAUGCGUUCGCCUUUUUCGGUAACAGGGUGGGAUUUGGAGCCGCCCCCGGGUUUGUAUCGGAGGAGCAGGCAGGCGAUGGCGGCCGCAAAGCCUCUGCCCUGAUCGUGCUGGGCGUGCACUUCGGGCCAGGUUGUUUGUGCAUGCUGGUAGCGUUGCCACAGGAGGCUGAGCCGCUCUGCGCUGAUGGUGCCUAUGCACCGUCCGCGGGGGUCGUAGACAUGCGCCAGGUGGGUGCCGCAUGCCGGGGAGCCGGGGUCGAGGACUGUACCGAGCUGGACGGUGUAUGCUUGCGUGGGGUGGAUGUCUCGGCUAGGGUUGCAGGGCUCAACGUUGAUAUCUACGUAGUGGCGCAGGGUGCGCUGCCCUCGUGCUGUGUCAUUGCUGGCGUCUGUCCAGCGGCCCUGUCGCUGGUCGUGGCUGAGGUGGGUGUCCGUAGCGGGGGGUGGCGGGCGGGGGCCCAGGGGGACGGCGAGGCGGGCGUUAAGGGCGUCUAGGAGUUCCUGCUUGUUGUCUUGUGCAUCCAGGAUAGCGGCGGGUUCUUCCAAGUCUUCCCAUUCCACAAGGACGCGAGGUUCGUUACCUGGGGUGAGGAGCCAGGUAAGGCCGCCGGGUUUGGGGCGGUAGCGGUUGCGGGCGUAGAGGGUGAGGGAGCCGGGGGUGAUGACGGUGGGUUCCCACUGGACUCGGUAAAAGGGCGCGCCUUUGCUGGUGGUGUGCGCUAUCACUUGUUGUACUCGCUCCUGUUGCCCGUAUAGGGUGUUGGUGGUGGUUAGGGCUUUGGUGCGGUAGGUUUCGCUGAAGUGCUUCCAUGUGUCGGACGUGGCGGCUAGGUACGCGUCUUGCUCCUCCUGACUGAGCUUGUGUCGGUGUGUGAAUGUGGCUGGGGGUGUGGGGCCGAGGAGCAGGCCUCUGAGGUGUGCCGCGGGGUUUUGGGGCUUGGAUUUGCCGAGGAGGCUAGGGGCGUUAUGGAUCAGGUCUGCGCAGUGUGCUUCUGUAAGCGGAUCGAGCGAUGGAUCCCAAUCAAAUGCUGCGGGCGCAUCAGCAGGCGGUGAUCCACGACCUUCAGGUUCCCUGACCAUCUUAAUGCAAGCCCGCUUACGUUGCUGUGUGCCUGGCCGGCGUGUUUGUGCAGGUGCAUGGUUCUCGCCGGCGUGGUGGUCCUCCUCAGGCUCGGCCGCCGCGGUGGUGGCGGCGGCGGUGGUGGCCGCAGCGGUUUCUCCGUCGUUGGCAGUCUGUCCGGUGGCGGGGGCGCGCUGGCGGAGGAAGCGGUUAAGCGUGCCCCAGUCGACGGCGGCAGGUGCGGUGUGGGCCGUGUGGAGGCCAGUGAAGGUGUGUCCAUCUGGAAGAGUGCGCUGGGCAGUGGUGAGGGGAGCGGUGCUGUUGUGGGUUUUGGCGCGAGUUCGGGUUUCAGCGUGGAGUGCGAGAGUGAGACGGUUGAGGGCUAGCCUGUGCCGCCUUUGGGCCCUCGGCCAUGUGUUUUUUAGAGUGUUGGCAUCGAUGACGCAGGUGCGGUCCGGAGUGAGGAGCUCGCGGAAGUCGCUGGUGAGUUCAAGGAGGGGUUGGAUCAAUCGGAAGGGCAGGGCCUGUUCCGCGUCGGCGCCUGGCGGCACGGUGCGUGCAAGGAGGGCCGACAAACCGUGUAGUGUAGUGUGGUAUGCGCUGCCCUGUUGGGUCAGCUCCAGGCCCGCGUCUGUGAUCAGCGACAGCUGUCGCAGGCUGGUAUAGAAGCGGCAUUGUGUGCGGAGCUGAUCUGCGGGUAUCUUCUGUGCCACGCUGUGUUGCAGGUGGAGCAUGGCGCGGGUGACGGCGCCCAGCCUGCCUCCAUCGUUCAGGGCCUGGACGAGAGCCUUGCCGGCGCGGCGGACAUACAGCUCGCGGAUGCUGCCUACGCCCAGGCCAAGGGCGUUGGUGGGUUGGAGGAUAGCGCGGGUGGGGAAGCCUCGUUUCAGGCCGUAGCACAUUUUGGCGGUGCUGGCAAUCAGGGAGUCGAGGCUGGUGACGUCAUGUGUGCUGUACGGCAUGAACGGGAGGCUGUAGGCCACUGCUGGGUGGAUGGUAAAUUGUAUCAUUCGGAGCUUUUGGUCUGGUGUGGCAAGUGAUGUGGCGAUGCGUUGCCCUCGCUUCUUAAUCUUUUCCCGGAUGUACUGUACUUGUGCGCUCCAGUCUAGGGUAGGGGUGAUGUGGAUGCCGAGGUAUUUGUAAGAUUCAUGCGGGGGCUUGUAUGGGAUAGCGGUGCCGUCUAUGCGGAUUUGGCCUUCUAGCAUCCGGGCGAGCGCUGCCUGGUGGAGCUNNNNNNNNNNNNNNNNNNNNNNNNNNNNNNNNNNNNNNNNNNNNNNNNNNNNNNNNNNNNNNNNNNNNNNNNNNNNNNNNNNNNNNNNNNNNNNNNNNNNNNNNNNNNNNNNNNNNNNNNNNNNNNNNNNNNNNNNNNNNNNNNNNNNNNNNNNNNNNNNNNNNNNNNNNNNNNNNNNNNNNNNNNNNNNNNNNNNNNNNNNNNNNNNNNNNNNNNNNNNNNNNNNNNNNNNNNNNNNNNNNNNNNNNNNNNNNNNNNNNNNNNNNNNNNNNNNNNNNNNNNNNNNNNNNNNNNNNNNNNNNNNNNNNNNNNNNNNNNNNNNNNNNNNNNNNNNNGCCUGGUGGAGCUGAGGGUCAUGAGUUGGUGGAUGGCUGUCUGCAGGUUGGUUGGUAUUGUCUGGAGGAGUUCGUUGGGUAUUCCAUCGGGCCCCGGGGCCUUGCGGCGGGACAGGUGGUUGACGCAGCCGAAGAACGUUGUGCUGUCGGCUAUGCCGGGCAGUAGGGUGGCGGGUGCGUCGGUUGGCUUGGAUAGGGCCGGCAUACGAUCAGGUGCAUCGGGCCGGCUCCAGGCGUACUGUUUCUCGCUGUAAGGUAUGUCGUAGUGUCCUGUGCGGGGGCCAUUGAUUGGGAGGAGUUGAGCGGUGAAGUGCUGGUGGAUGCUGCUCAGGAUUUUCUCGGGUGCGGUGUGGACUUCUUUGGUGGUGGGGUCAGUGAGGGCGGGCGUGCCGCGUGGCUGGUCCGUUUCAUCGAAGAUCUUCUGGUGUGCGCGCUUUGGCUGUGUUGCAACCAGUCGUCGGAAGGCGCGGGCUGCCCGUUUGGUGUUGAGUUUCCUUGCUUCCUUUUUUGCGGCACGGAGGAGGGUGCGUGCGUUGAGUAGCUGACUCCGGAUGGCGGUGGGUGUGUCGGCUUCUGCGGGGGUCGGCGGGGUAGGUGUGGGACUGGUGGUGUUGGGUGGGGGCGUCGGGGCGGGGUGAGGUGUGGUGGUGGGUGGGGUGGCGCCCGCUGCGUUUGUGACAGUAAGGGCGGCUGUGAGUCGUUCUUUGAGCUUGCUGGUGGCAGUCAGGAGGCGCGUCACUGUUUUUGACGUGUGGUGUCGUGGGCUUGUAGUGCUGGCGCGCGGCGGUUUCUUGUCGCAGUAGGUUUUGAGAACGUCCAGGCACUUUUGGAGGAUGGAUUCGAGUGUGUUGCUGAUGGACGUGGUGUCGGCUGCACUAACUUCGGGAAGGGCGCGGAAUUCCGCAGGGCUUGGGGUGUUCCGCUCGGCUUGGGCAGGGGUGAGGCCGGCAGGGUAUAGCUUAUUGGUGAUGGCGAGGUGUGCGGGGUGUAGCGUGUUCAGUAGGUCGGCGAUCUCUUGCCCAGUGGUUUCUUCCAUCUUGAUGCGCGCUUUCUCGCGCUGGUCUUUGGUUGGUGGAUGGUAGUUUACCCAUGCGUCAGGAUCGGAGGGGGCGGCAGGUGCCGUGGGGAAGGGGUAGAGGCGGAGGGCAGCGAGGGGGACGCUGGAGAGGAGAGCACGGUGGUCGAGGGCAUCACCGCAUUCAUGCGCCGCUUCCUGUCCACCUCCUGUUGUAUUGAUGAUGGCGUGUGUGUGGUGGCUUAUUAGUAGGUCGUCAAUGCGGCUCAUGUGCGGUGCGGUGGCUUGAUCGUGUAGGUAUGUGUGGGGCCGGGGGUGUUCGUGUGUGGGUGGUGUGAGUGGGUGCAGGCCCGCAGAGGCGGCGAAGGCAAUGUGGGCGCGGUCCGUAGCGUUCAGCUGGCCUGUGCUGCGGUCGGAGGGGAACAGCACUGCGUUCCAGUCGCCUCCAAUAAGGAGAUGCUCUUUCGCGGCUGUCGUUUUGGCGGCUUGGUCGGUGCAGUAUUUGUAGAUUGCAGCACGGGUGGCGUCGUCGCUGGGGGCGUAUAUGCCGAUGGCGUGUACUGGCGUGCUGUGUGGUGGUGCAAUGCGUAUGUGGCAGACGUGGCCUGCCAGGCGUGAGUCUGUGUUGUGUGCAUUCAUGUCUGUGGUGCCAGACGGGCGGCUAAAGCGGUGGGUGACACCGACCAUGACGCCGGCAUGGGGGCGGGUUCCCUCGCGUGGGUUGUAGGGUGCGUUGCUGGUGUAGGUUUGGUAGUGCGAGGAGAGGCCUUUUUUAGCGCUGCCCAUGCUGUAGUGGAGGCGGGUGGGAAUUUUGGUUUCGGUGAGGAAGAGGAUGUCGGGUGUGUGUGUGGUGACCGUGUGGAGGAUGCUUUCAUGGUGGCUCAACAGUUCCCUGGUGUUGAGGGUGAGGAUGGAGAUGCGUCCGUCGGGGGGUGGAGAGGGGCUGGCCUGGGCUUGGCCGUUUGUGGGUUCGGUGGGUGUGUUUUGGAGUGUGGCCGUGUGUCUUCUUUUGUGCGAUGUUGCUAUGGUGGUCUGGUGGAGUCUCUUGGCUGGCGGCGGUGCGCUGGGGGUGCCGGUGGCGAGUUUGCGUAAUUUAGGGGUGGGGUUGGGCGUACGCCUGGCGGGGCGUUUUGUGGGGCCCGCUGGUUUGGGCACGAUGCGCGUGGCAGUGUUGCUUCGGGCGGCUGGGCCUGGGUUGGCGCUCGUAGGCGGGCUAGGGGAGUUUGUGGUGUUGGGGCCGGCGGGGGGGCCGCCGGUAGGGUUAGUGGGGGGGUCCUGUGCGAGGGCUGCGGGUGUGGGGCCGAGUUUGUUAGCAGUGGAGGUACUGUUGCCAUUUUGGGUGCGUGUGCGUUUGGUGCCGGCGUGUGGGCGGGUUUCCUCAUUGGUGCGGACAGGGGUGAUGCGUAUGCCCUCGUGUGAGAGGGUGAUGCGGGUGGUGGGGGGGCUGGUUGGCGGGAUGUCCCGGAUGUUGAAGUUGGUUGAUAUUUCGGGGUGUCGUGUGUAAGUGAGGGUUAGGGCGAGGCCGCGCCCCAGAUCCGCCCAUCGGUAGUAUCCCGGCUGUGCUGUGUUGGCGUUCGUGAGGGGGAUGGCGCGUUUUGCGUUGGAGUCGUGUAGCCACCAGCGGCCGUUUGCGUGUUUCACAGUUCGGGCAUGGCCGCCGUGGAUAAGAAUAAAGCCGAUGUGGCGGGAUUCGGAGGGAAUGGCGUUGAGUGCUUCGUGUUGGUUGAGGCCGCCAUGGUACGAGCAUGCCGUGAGUUGGACGUAGGGUAGGCCUGGCAGGGGGGAACAGGUGGUAGCUUUGAGGCAGUGGUUUAUGAGGCCGUAGUCGAUGUUGUUGGUUGUCAGGUAGGUCGCCCAUGUGGGUGUUGAAGCCGGGGAGUUGCGGUGGAGGUGCUGCGAUCCUCGCGCCCAUUCGGCGUAGACAGUGGCGGGUGUGAGAAGGCGUUUCCCAAGCAGGUUGUUGAUUGCGUGUAUGAGGCAGGAGCGGUUGUCGUGUUGUUUCUCAUGGAGGUGCAUUGCUCGGACAACUGGUGUGGUGGAUUUGAGGCGGUUGCUCUUGCUGCCGGCAUGCCGGUUUUCCGUGUGGGCCGAUGCAGGAGUUGGGUGGGCGCUGUACAUGUAUCUCAUGAGUGCUGCAGCUGCAAUCCCGGCUGCAAUUCUCGCUAUUGUGUUGGCAUAGUGCGCUAGCCCAUGCCUCUUCCCGGGUGUGGUCAAUGUGUUGUUGGGUGCUGCAGGUUUGAUACAGGUGGCGGCGUGGGCCGGCAGGUCCCGUUCUCCUUCCUGGGGUCUUAGCCAACUCUUCUUGCGUGCUCCUCCCUCGUGUUGCCUCCACUCCUUCCAGCCUCUGCCGCCUGUGGCUGCAUUGUAGCCAUUCGUUCUAUUUGUCUCCAUGUCGGGACUAGUUCCACUAAUGUAGGCCUCGUGCGCCUCGUGCCAGCCCAGUUUGCGCGUCCUGUGCCGUGCUUCUGCCUCACAGCUUCUGUUGACAUUUUGCCACCCUCUCGUAUCGUCAAGCCAAACUGUUCCUGUUGUCCCCAUACGUGCGUCUACUUUGUCUAGCUUCCUUCUCCGAGCACCUAAGCCACCAGGUCUGCUCACUUCAUUCACCACCAUCCAUUCAUGUGUGCGAGCAUGCGUGACUACUGCUUCCACGUUAAUAUCAGCGACUGCACUUAUCCAGAUUCGAACUGGAGACCUCCCGCUGUUUCGCCCCGAGACGUGUUGGGUCCACACCGCCCAGCCAUCACCACACACCCCACCUGCCACACCCACCCUUGUGCACUGUUGUUUCACAUUUUCAUAUGUGCAUGUUGCCUGACCUAUUUGCAAUGCAGACACGAGCAGGGAGCCAUGUUGCCAGCCCUCACAGUGCCUUCAGUGCCCCUGCACGCACGCCUGGACAAGGCGGGUGGGGUCCACACCGCCCAGCCAUCACCACACACCCCACCUGCCACACCCACCCUUGUGCACUGUUGUUUCACAUUUUCAUAUGUGCAUGUUGCCUGACCUAUUUGCAAUGCAGACACGAGCAGGGAGCCAUGUUGCCAGCCCUCACAGUGCCUUCAGUGCCCCUGCACGCACGCCUGGACAAGGCGGGUGGGGUCCACACCGCCCAGCCAUCACCACACACCCCACCUGCCACACCCACCCUUGUGCACUGUUGUUUCACAUUUUCAUAUGUGCAUGUUGCCUGAC